UCCUGACUUUCGGAUUCUCAUCAUGUCGGAGACCGCUCCUGCCGCCCCCGCCGCCGCUCCCCCAGCGGAGAAGGCACCUGCGAAGAAGAAGGCUGCCAAGAAGCCUGCCGGGGCUCGCCGCAAGGCGUCCGGACCCCCGGUGUCCGAGCUCAUCACCAAGGCUGUAGCCGCCUCCAAGGAGCGCAGCGGCGUGUCCCUGGCCGCGCUCAAGAAGGCGCUGGCGGCCGCCGGCUACGACGUGGAGAAGAACAACAGCCGCAUCAAGCUGGGGCUCAAGAGCCUGGUGAGCAAGGGCACCCUGGUGCAGACCAAGGGCACCGGCGCCUCCGGCUCCUUCAAGCUCAACAAGAAGGCGGCUUCCGGCGAGGCCAAGCCCAAAGCCAAGAAGGCAGGCGCGGCCAAGGCUAAGAAGCCCGCGGGCGCAGCCAAGAAGCCCAAGAAGGCGACUGGUGCCGCCACGCCCAAGAAAGCCGCCAAGAAGACCCCGAAGAAAGCGAAGAAGCCCGCGGCUGCUGCCGUGACCAAGAAAGUGGCCAAGAGUCCAAAGAAGGCGAAGGUUGCCAAGGCCAAGAAGGUCAAGAGCGCGUCUAAGCCCGUGAAGCCGAAGGCUGCCAAGCCCAGGGUUGCUAAGCCCAAGAAGGUUGCAGCCAAGAAGAAGGUGCUUUAUGUGCUGAGUCUUUGGCGGGUGUUUGUGCCUCCGAGUGUGGGAGAAGGUCGGGUGCCGGCGCCGGUGAUCUGACUUCCUUUAAAGACCUGUAAGCGAUGGCUGCGGAAAGGGCCCGCCCGCCCAGUGAUGCCGGACCUGGGGCUGGUGUCUGGGUGUCAUUUUAGAUUGUCCUCGAACCGGCAUUGCCUCGGCUUCCCGAAAUGCAUAAGUUAUAGAUGCGUGUCGACUCCAAAGUCCGACCUCGCAUGCAUACUUACUGAGGCUUCUUGCUAUGCUCUGUGCAGUCCAACAUAUUUAAGUAAAGAGUAAAUUCCUGGCUAUCUGUUGAAGAUGUAUUGGGCUACUUCUAA